GGCUUCGUAGCUCAGCAGGAUAGAGCGGAGGUUUCCUAAACCUUGUCUGCCGCGCGUUCGAAUCGCGCCGGGGCCA
rnacentral:tRNA from 1 species